UAGUGAGCACGCUCACAUACCCCACGUCGCCACAUUGUCAUUGGAGAAAUAAAAUAAGUGUAAGAAAAAAAAAUUGUAUCAGAAAAAAAAAAUUGAAUCAUAAUUUCCUGUCAAUAUGCACAUCUACAUAGUAUGUCCUUAUUAUCUACAGAGUUUCAUGAAAUUCUGUUGUGUGGUUUGAGAGGAGUUGCGAUGACAAAAGGUUGCAGUAGUAUAUUGGGCAAAUAAGUUUAAAGGGGUGUAACUCCUGGAAAAAAAAUUGAAUCGUAAUUUCCUGUAGAUAUGCACAUCUACGUAGUAUGUCCUUAUUAUCGGAAAAGGUUUCAUGAAAUUCUGUUGUGUGGUUUUAGAAGAGUUGCGAUGACAAAAGGUUGCAGUAGUAUAUUGGUCAAAUAAGUUCAAAGGGGCGUAACUCCUGGAAAAAAAAUUGAAUCGUAAUUUCCUGUCGAUAUGCACAUCUACGUAGUAUGUCCUUAUUAUCUGAAAAGGUUUCAUGAAAUUCUGUUGUGUGGUUUGAGAGGAGUUGCGAUGACAAAAGGUUGCAGUAGUAUAUUGGGCAAAUAAGUUCAAAGGGGCGUAACUCCUGGAAAAAAAAUUGAAUCGUAAUUUCCUGUCGAUAUGCACAUCUACGUAGUAUGUCCUUAUCAUCUGAAAAGGUUUCAUGAAAUUCUGUUGUGUGGUUGGAGAGGAGUUGCGAUGACAAACUGUUGCAGUAGUACAUUAAAGUAAAUAAGUUCAAAGGGGCGUAACUCCUAGAAAAAGAAUUGAAUCGUAAUUUCCUGUCAAUAUGCACAACUACAUAGUAUGUCCUUAUUAUCUAAAAAGGUUUCGUGAAAUUCUGUUGUGUGGUUUGAGAGGAGUUGCGAUGACAAGAAACAGGACUGACGGAAUGACGGACG